GAUGAACGCUGGCGGCGUGCUUAACACAUGCAAGUCGAACGAACCUUUCGGGGUGAGUGGCGGACGGGUGAGUAACGCGUGAGGAUCUGCCCUUAGGCGGGGGACAACCAAUGGAAACGUUGGCUAAUACCCCAUAUGGCGAGAGCUGAAAGCUUAAUGUGCCUGAGGAUGAGCUCGCGUCUGAUUAGCUAGUUGGUGGGGUAAAGGCUUACCAAGGCGACGAUCAGUAGCUGUUCUGAGAGGAAGAUCAGCCACACUGGGACUGAGACACGGCCCAG
rnacentral:rRNA from 1 species